CAUGCAAGUCGAACGCAUCAGUAAUUAGUGGAAAGCCUCUUGAGGCGGGGAAGGGGAGAAAUCUCUGGAGCCGUGGAUGGGGGUCGGAAGCUUGACGCUGGUGAGUGGCGGAUGGGUGAGUAACACGUCGGUGACCUGCCCCAAAGUGGGGAAUAACCGCCCGAAAGGGCAGCUAAUUCCGCAUGUGGUCUAUCGUUCACUCGAUAGAUUAAAGGCGCAAGCCGCUUUGGGAGGGGCUCGCGGCCGAUUAGCUAGUUGGUAGGGUAAUGGCUUACCAAGGCGAUGAUCGGUAGCUGGUCUGAGAGGAUGAUCAGCCACACUGGCACUGACACACGGGCCAGACUCCUACGGGAGGCAGCAGCAAGGAAUAUUGCACAAUGGGCGAAAGCCUGAUGCAGCAACGCCGCGUGGGCGAUGAAGGCCUUCGGGUUGUAAAGCCCUUUUCUGCGGGAAGAGCAAGGACGGUACCGCAGGAAUAAGUCUCGGCUAACUACGUG
rnacentral:rRNA from 1 species